UACUACGGGAGGAUCAACUUGAAGCUGGAACCAAAGCAGCACAGCAGGAAGAGUUAGAGCGCCUAAAAAGACUUGAGCAACAAAGAAGGAAUUUGUGUUACCCACCUUGCCAUUUGAACUAUUACAAGAAUCGAACACCCAAACUUUAAAAAAGGAACCUGUUUGGAAUGAAGAGGAAAUUGUACAGAAAGCAGAUGAACAUCUGGCAACCACCACCAAGGCCCUCUAAAUCUGAGGUAAUCUGUGUGGACAUAAGCAGCGAGAGUGAAGAAGAUGCAGGGGGAGUAAACAAAGUUGUAAAGGAUGGUGAGAAUAUAACUGGAUCUAUUCCCAUUUUCAUAUUAUUCCUUGGCCCGAGGCACGCACUUGUCUUCUUCCCACCACAAAAAAGUGUAUGCAAACUUACAUUGCGGCAUGGUUUCAAAGGCAUUGACA